CGACAUUUGUUUUCGUGGCCACUACAGGGAGCGACCGCCGCGCCGCCAUCCGAUAGCGCCUGAAACGCGCUUCUGGGCACUUUUUCUCCCUGAAGACGGCCGCUGGCCUAGGUACUGAGGAGGAGAACGCCCCUAGCUCCACUUGUCCCUAAACGCGCUUCGCGCCGGUGUCAACUGACGUCAAGGUAAGUUCUUGCAUUCCUUGUUCUGCGAUGUUUUCUACGCGCGACGAUGAAAUUUCUCCACGCAGUACGCGUCUCUACUUAGAACUAUUUUCAGCGUGACAGUUUUUGUAUUUUCUUGUAGCCUGGGAACACCGUUCAAUUGGUGCGACAGAAACUUAUGCAGCUUCCGUCUCACGCAUUGUAUGGAAACGGUUGAAUACCGCUUGUAGUUACUUUCUUGCCCUAGAGUUGAACUAGUAAAAGGUGCCCAUGCUGCGAGUGCAGUCGUAACGCUUUGACGUUGGAUCCGAGCCCAUGGAGAAAGUUGGAGCUGUAGAGCUGUAUGUUUUUGGACAAAGUCAUCAAUUCCAUUGCUCUUCCUAUGCCAAGUGGCCAGGAUAAUGGUUGAAAUUGCUACAAUAAAGGUUAUGAUCAACAACAUUUGUUGAAAUUUUGCAUU